GUUCCGGAACUGAGGGAGUAAGGGCAGAGUUCUGGAAUUGAGGGUAGAAUUCUGGAACUGAGGGAGUAAGGGCAGAGUUCUGGAAUUGAGGGUAGAAUUCUGGAACCGAGGGAGUAAGGGCAGAGUUCCCGAACAGGGACAGAGAUUGAAGAACUGAUGCGGGGAAUCAAGCCUUUCGGAUUUGCCCUUCUCCUCAUCCAGGGCUGGGCUUUGGGUUUGUUCACACAAUUCACAGGUGAGUUGGUUCUCGGGGUGGACGGACAUUUUCACCAGGAGGGCGGGGUUCAUGGUAAAGCGAGGCGUUCUAGCUGCGUCGGGAAACAGAGAGCGCCGUUUCUCCCAGACGGGAAAGUGGCCCUCGAUGGAACUGUCAGCCUGAAGGGAGCUGUGAUCUCGCAGGAAAGACCGAAGCGUUUCCCGCUGCAGGCUUGGUGUUCGAAAACAGAGACAGG